CACUUGUUUGCAGAAGGCAGAUAACUUAACUGGAAUUUUGUCUAUAUUAUAAUUUCACAGCAUAAUAAAACUAAGACCACCAAUAUUUGAUGAAACAUAAUGAUCUCCGCUUUGAAGUGCAUACUGCACAUGAGCGUACUCUGGCAUAUCAUGUCUUUUCGUGGAACUUGAGGUAAGGAUGUUGUUUUUUUUAAGCUGGAGCAGCCGGGAACGCUGCAAUAACAGCGACGAGACGACUCUGCCAUUCUAUCUCACUCUGUUCCAUUGGAACCGGAUGUUGUAGUCCGCCGUUUCGCUUACCGGAACCAGGAAGUGUGAAAAAGGCCUAUUAAACCCAUGAUUAAACCCAGUAUUUUAGGAUCAUCAGAUUACCACGUGACACUGUACCACAGCGGGCAAUUUGAGGUGUCCAUUUUAGAAAAUCUGCUCGGAAGAAGGCUUUUGGUAAGUAGUUGCAAAUGUUAGAUGAUAUUUCCUUUAUGCCAGCUUCUAAAUAUUGCAUGUUUAAAUGCUUAGAUGGCAAUUUACAGUAUAACGAAUGGACGCUUUUAAUAAAUGUGCAUGCUCGACUCAACACGUGUUAACUCUGAUUUUAAUGUACGUUUUGAAAGUUACGUUACUUUCAUGAGACAAAUGUUAGUUAAAUAAUGGUGAUUUGACCGAUUUUAUUAGUCUUUUUUCUUAUUUGAAAACAUGAUGGUUCUUUUAGCGAAGGGCGAUAUCUUACUGUUUGCAAUACUACCAGUAAUACUAUCACCACGACAAGUUUCCGCGCGAUAAUAACAACAAAAUCUGUGCAACCGUUUUGUAUCGGCAUUGUACCUGUGAUGGCCAGUGUGGUGGCCACACACUGACAGUGAGGCCUGCACGCACGCACACACACACACACACACACACACGCGCGCGCGCAUUAUACACAUUCAUUUAAGAUUAUUUAUUUGUUUGGUUAAAUGGAAUUUAUUUCGUUUCUUUUCAUAUCUGAUUUAAAUAAGACACAUACACUGUUUGUUUCUCAUUAGUUUCUUUAUUAUUCACAGUACAUGUAUGACUAUUUUGGGUGCACACAAUUAGUUAUCUGUACUGUAUGUUUUGUUAAUUUCGUUUUCUUUUGAGUUUAAGUUACCGUGCUGCAGUGCCAAUGAGGAAUGGGGUUUCCGGGUGUGGUCCGACAUGCUAAAGGGCCGACGUGCUGCAAAGUGCCACCUUUUGGUUCCGCCUGCCGACACCAUUGGCUUAAUGGCUUAAGGGAGAGCUGAUGUUUAGUACCAAACGAGUAUAGCCGAAUCUUCAGCUGCAGGGAGUGUAAAUUGGGCUCAAACAGAAGGCUCAUAUGAUUUGAAGCGGGAGCCGAGCCGAAUCUUCAGCUGCAUGAAGUUCAUUUUGUGAAUGAAACAACAUAACUGUGGAUCACCUGACUUGGAAUCAAGAUUCCAGAUCUUCAUUUUAGGAAAAAGAGGACAGCCCACCCAUCGACCUGCUGAUGCUAAGAUUGCCUGCACAUUUUAAUUUAACUCGGGACACCUGUGGGGAAGCGAACAAGCAGGACAUUGGAGAGCACAUACCAAAAACUGUGACCAUAUGCACACAUACGGACAAUUAAGCCUACCCAAUUCACCUAUACUGGAUGUCUUUGGACUUGUGGGUGAAACCGGAGCACCCGGAGGAAACCCACAUCAACACGGGGAAAACAUGCAAACUCCACACAGAAACACUAACUGACCCAGCCAGGGUUCGAACCAUAGACUGUAAAAGGUUCGAACCUGCCCAGUAAUGUAAUAUAGUCUUUUUUUAUAUUGAGUGUUUGACAAGCACAGCUUUGAACGCUACUUUUAAGAAUACUCCUGAAACUGUUUUUGAACAAUUGUUUCUAUUAAAGCAGUAGAUUUUUAAACAUUUUUGCAUUUU